ACAUGCACAAGUACACAGUUGUUUAUUCUGUUUUCUUUUUUAUUGGGCAUCUCUUGGAACAGGAGAUCUGGAUCCUAGUCUGUGACUUUAAUGAUGUUGCUUUAAACAUGUCACUGACCUUUGUGGGUCUUGGUCGUAAAAGGAACGACCCAGCUUUCCAGAUGACCACAAUUCUAGUUGUCAUGAAUUCUCCACCUGUAUGUAUACAUUCAAAGACUUCCUUUCAUAAGAACAAAGUUACAUAAAUGUUACGUGAUAAUGUAAAUUAACACAUAAAUGUGUAAAGCUGACAACAGUUCAACAUAUGAAUGUUAGACAGCAGUAUAUUUAGUUGAAUCAGAUCUGGGUAAGUUUCUUUGAAAUUUUUAUAAAUGAACUACAUUAA
rnacentral:lncRNA from 1 species